rnacentral:rRNA from 1 species
AGCGAACGCUGGCGGCAGGCCUAACACAUGCAAGUCGAACGAAGUCUUCGGACUUAGUGGCGGACGGGUGAGUAACACGUGGGAACGUGCCUUUAGGUUCGGAAUAACUCAGGGAAACUUGUGCUAAUACCGAAUGUGCCCUUCGGGGGAAAGAUUUAUCGCCUUUAGAGCGGCCCGCGUCUGAUUAGCUAGUUGGUGAGGUAAUGGCUCACCAAGGCUACGAUCAGUAGCUGGUCUGAGAGGAUGACCAGCCACAUUGGGACUGAGACACGGCCCAAACUCCUACGGGAGGCAGCAGUGGGGAAUCUUGCGCAAUGGGCGAAAGCCUGACGCAGCCAUGCCGCGUGGAUGAUGAAGGUCUUAGGAUUGUAAAAUCCUUUCACCGGUGAAGAUAAUGACUGUAGCCGGAGAAGAAGCCCCGGCUAACUUCGUGCCAGCCGCCGCGGUAAGAC